AUGCUCCACCUCCGGAAGCGCGUCCUCUCUCAUCUCAUCUCCGCCGCGCCAUCUCCUUCCACCUCCCCACUCCUCUCUCUCCACCGCCUCGCCUCCGCGGCCGCGCCCGCGGUUUCCGCAAACCCUAGCUUCGCCGUCGAGGAGUACCUCGUCGGCACCUGCGGCCUCACCCGACCACAGGCCCUCAAGGCCUCCGCCAAGCUCUCCCACCUCAAGUCCCCCUCCAAGCCCGACGCCGUCCUCGCCUUCCUCGCCGGCCUCGGCCUCUCCGGCGCCGAUGUCGCGGCCGUCGUCGCCAAGGACCCGCGGUUCCUCUGCGCCGGCGUGGAGAGAACUCUGUUCCCCGUCGUCGAGGGGCUCACCGGCCUCGGCCUGUCAAAUGCUGAGAUUGCGCGCCUCGUCUCGGUCGCCCCGGGCUACUUCCGCUGCAGAUCCGUCGUCUCCAAGCUAGAGUACUACCUUCCACUCUUCGGCCCCAUCGACAACUUGGUCCGGCCGCUCAUACAUGUCCUCGGCUCUGACCUCGAGAGGGUGGUCAAGCCCAAUGUCAGUCUCCUAGCAGAGUGCGGGCUAGGUGCUUGUGACAUUGCCAAGCUGUUCAUCGGUGCGCCGUGGAUGUUUAGUGCCAAACCAGGGCGCGUCCUGGCGAUGGUUGCGUGCGCCGAAGGUAUAGGUGUGCCCCGUGGCUCUGGAAUGUUCAGGCAAGCGCUGUACGCCGUCUCAUGCUUCAGCGAGGACAAGAUCGCUGCCAAACUGGACUACUUGAAGAAGACACUUAGGUGGUCAGACGCCGAGGUUGGCAUUGCUGUGUCCAAGGGUCCGUUUCUGCUGAGGAGGUAA
rnacentral:rRNA from 1 species